rnacentral:tRNA from 1 species
GGGGAUUUAGCUCAGUGGUAGAGCGCUUGCCUAGCAAAUGGAAGGCCCUGGGUUCAGUCCCCA